rnacentral:rRNA from 1 species
AUUGAACGCUGGCGGCAUGCCUUACACAUGCAAGUCGAACGGCAGCACGGGUGCUUGCACCUGGUGGCGAGUGGCGGACGGGUGAGUAAUACAUCGGAACGUACCUUAGCGUGGGGGAUAACGCAGCGAAAGCUGUGCUAAUACAGCAUACGCCCUGAGGGGUAAAGCGGGGGCUCGCAAGACCUCGCGCGAUUAGAGCGGCUGAUGCCGGAUUAUCUUGUGGGUGGGGUAAGAGCCCACCAAGGCGACGAUCAGUAGCUGGUCUGAGAGGACGAUAAGCCACACUGGGACUGAGACACGGCCCAGACUCCUACGGGAGGCAGCAGUGGGGAAUUUUGGACAAUGGGGGCAACCCUGAUCCAGCAAUGCCGCGUGAGUGAAGAAGGCCUUCGGGUUGUAAAGCUCUUUUGUCAGGGAAGAAACACCGGCUCUAACACAGUCCGGGAAUGACGGUACCUGAAGAAUAAGCACCGGCUAACUACGUGCCAGCAGCCGCAGUAA